AUUCAAACAUUGGUUCCCAUAUGAUCACUGAAGUUAAACAAUAUCAAGCCUGGUCAGUAGCUAGAUGGGUGACCACUUGGGAAUAUCAGGUGCUA